rnacentral:rRNA from 1 species
UGGGGAAUCUUGGACAAUGGGGGCAACCCUGAUCCAGCCAUGCCGCGUGUGUGAAGAAGGCCUUAGGGUUGUAAAACACUUUCAGCGGGGAAGAUGAUGACGGUACCCGCAGAAGAAGCUCCGGCUAACUUCGUGCCAGCAGCCGCGGUAAUACGAAGGGAGCUAGCGUUGUUCGGAAUCACUGGGCGUAAAGCGCACGUAGGCGGAUAGUUAAGUCAGGGGUGAAAUCCUGGGGCUCAACCCCAGAACUGCCUUUGAUACUGGCUGUCUCGAGGUCGAGAGAGGUUGGUGGAAUUCCUAGUGUAGAGGUGAAAUUCGUAGAUAUUAGGAAGAACACCAGUGGCGAAGGCGGCCAACUGGCUCGAUACUGACGCUGAGGUGCGAAAGCGUGGGGAGCAAACAGGAUUAGAUACCCGGGUAGUCCCUGAGCGGGCUGGCAAGGCGCAU